UUUCCGUAGGUGAACCUGCGGAAGGAUCAUUGCACACACGAUGCAGCAAACUAGCGAACUGUGUUUGUCCCCCACCUACCCCAAACACGAGGGGCCGCAUCUGGAGGUGCGGCUGUCGACGGCAAGGUCCCGACCUUCGGGUCCCCGCAGUGGUUCCCGCAAGCGGGCUGAUCAUGUCGCCGUCUGGGUGUCCCGCGCGGGCUCUCGCCUUGCCUUAGGGUUGGGCGACGCGGGCAUUCUCCUCCCUUCGAUGGCGUCGUCCCCUCCUCCGGGAGAGCGACACGCCUCGAGGGCCGUUUACAACUUUGCACCAUGUACAACACCAGUGACUGUGUAUACCUGUGUCCCGGUUCCGCUGCUGCCCUCGGGUGUGCGGGAUUGGUCCAUAGGAACAAGAGUAAAUAAAAACAACUCUCAGCAACGGAUAUCUUGGCUCUU
rnacentral:misc_RNA from 1 species